UACAGAGUAACUAGAAAGCGUUAAGUGUCUAAUCAUGGGAUGUCGGAUUAGAACGAACACGAAAGUGGCGGUUUUCUAGUGCGUCCGCUGUA
rfam:Tenericutes bacterium GWD2_38_27 gwd2_scaffold_3064, whole genome shotgun sequence.